AGUAAAAGUAUAACAUGUUUUGAUUUAAAAAAUUAUUGCUCUUUAUCACAAUUAAAAUCAGGGCUUUUUAAUACGAAUACUUUUUCUGCUGUUUUUAAAUCUGGGCCUUGGUUCUAAGGGCCAAAGUCAUUUUUUUUAGAUUUGGGCUUAAGUGCAUUUUUGAAAUCGGCACAGACCAGAUUGUUAUGUGUAAUAAGGGCCAAAGUCUAUCUUUCACAGGAAAAAAAUUACAAAUCCGCCAAAGGCCAAUGUCAACAUUUCAAUUUUAUACUCUUUUUUCAAUAAAAGGGCCAAUGUGAACAUAGGCCCCAGGAAUCCAAUAUUAUAUAACUUCUUAUAAGGCCAAUAUCGACAUUGGCCUUUUUAGAAAUAAAUAGUUUUGAUCUGUUGUGACAAUGGCCCUGAAUUAGGCAUUUGUUUUUCUUUCUGCUUCUCAGUUUGUUUUAACUGUUGCUCUGAAUAACAACGUGUUGGCGGGAAAUAAGUGUUGAUUUGUUAUUUUAUGCAUUAGAAAGGAGAAAUACUAGUUUUUUAGUUUAAUUUUACUCUUAUUUAUAAUGUUAUCCCAUGGCCAAAGGUUGGUAAAUUUGUGUUCAAGUUCUAAAACUGGUUACAAUGAUUCAGUAGUUUUUGAGGAAGCAAAAUCCUUGCAAACAGAAUCUAAUGUAACUGAUAAAACAGCUGUUGAGUCAGGAUCGUCAGGAUUACCAAAAGCUGUGAAAGUAUUAUCAAAUAAGGAGAUUCAAACAUUCUACGAAGAAGAAAGGAAGGAAUAAAGUCAUAGAGGGCCAAGAAAGUAGAAAAAGGAAAACGGAUUGGAACAGUUGGGAUAAGAAAAGAAAAAUGGCAAAAACUUAAGGUAAAGCGUAUUUGACAAAAGCAGGGAAAAGAGUUUCUGAAAAAAAAAUUAAAGAUCCCUGUACCUGUAAGAAAAAGUGUUCAGAGAAGUUUUCUAACGGCGCAAGAACAAAGUUAUUCCAGGGAUUUUAUAGGUAUCACAAGAAGCACAAAACCAAUUUAUUGCUAACCAUAUUCAAGAGUUUCCAAAAAGAUCAGAGAGGCGUAGAGAAAAUAACAAAGAAAGCAGAAGAAAUUAAUGAAGAAAACGGGAAAGUUUCAGCACAAAAAAGUUAAUACUUUAAGAAACCCUGUUGUUUGGGCUAAAAUAAGAGUCAUUCACUAUUCUACCGAAAAUCCUGGUCUCAUUGCUGAAAUACAAAACCACUUUUGCUGAAGACGAGCCAUAUCAAACUUUAAAUUUAUUAAGAAAAUCAACCCGUAAUUCCGAAAAUGCAAUAAAACUUUUCCCUAUUAAUAAAAAACCGUUAGGCAUUCCAAAAAAUAAAGUACAACAUUUGAGGGACCUAUUACCAUUUAUUGAUAAAAACAGUCAGCCAUACUAUCUGCAGUUUCUUAAUGGACUAACUUCGUCUGAGACUGCAAUUGAUAAUCUUGGUGAAAGUGAAGAUGAUGAAGAUUCGCUUUAGGUGUCUAUAUUUUUAUCAAAAUGUAUGUGCAACGACUUUUACGAAGUUUUUUCUUGUGUUUUUAGUUUCAUUUUGAUUUUUUUAAGUUGAGCCAACGUGUUAUUAGUUUAAUUUAUUUUUAUUAAAAAAAGUCAAUUUUUUUUGAAAAAUAAAUUUAUUUUAUACAUU